AUAUAUUCGAAGCUUGGACUUGUCACCAGUGGGGUACCUCAGGGAUCUGUACUUGGACCCAUUCUCUUUAAUAUUUUUAUUAGUGAUAUUGCAGAAGGUCCUGAUGGUAAGGUAUGUCUUUUUGCUGAUGAUACUAAGAUAUGUAACAGGGUUGAUAUUCCAGGAGGGAGAAGCCACAUGGCAAAUGAUUUAGGUAAACUAGAAUUGUGGCAACUGACAUUUAAUGUGGAUAAGUGCAAGAAAAUGCAUCUUGGACGUAAAAACCCAAGGGCAGAGUACAGAAUAUUUGAUAGAG